GAUGAGACACCGGGUCCUGUACGAACAUUGAAGUUAAGCAACGUCGAGCUUGGUCAGUACAUAGAUGGGUGACCACUUGGGAAAAACAGAUGUUGUAA